GACGGAGGAUGCAAGUGUUAUCCGGAAUCACUGGGCGUAAAGCGUCUGUAGGUGGUUUGAAAAGUCCACUGUUAAAAAUUGAGGCUUAACCUCAAAGAUGCCGUGGAAACUUUCAAACUCGAGUAUGGUAGGGUAGAGGGAAUUUCCAGUGGAGCGGUGAAAUGCGUAGAUAUUGGAAAGACCACCGAUGGCGAAGGCACUCUACUGGGCCAUUACUGACACUGAGAGACGAAAGCUAGGGGAGCGAAUGGG
rnacentral:rRNA from 1 species